UGUAUUGCUGCUAGGUUUUGUUAUCACUAUUCAGAAGCCAACGGAAAUUUGCCAAGUGUCAUGCAAAAACCAAUCAUGCAUCAGUGCACGUGUAAGCGAUGACAUAAGCAGCCUCGCACGUGUAAGCGAUGACACAAGCAACCUCGCACGUGUAAGCGAUGACACAAGCAGUCUAGCACGUGUAAGCGAUGACAUAAGCGGACCAAUCAGGCUGUGACAUGUGUCACCAAUCAAGCUCUGCCACGUGUCGUUCACCCACCCCCAAACUCCUAUAAAUAAAAGCCUUCUUAAGACAUUUAGGAGACCAGGAUUCAGAGGACCAAGAUUCAGGGGACCAAGAUUCAGAAGGACCAAGAUUCAGGAAGACCCGAAUUCAGAAGUGAAAAAGCUCUGCUGGAAUCAAGCCAUGAAGCCUCCAGGAACUUCAAGAACUUCAACCCCAAAAUCGGAGAACAUUCGAAGCAGAAUCAUCCAAACCAUCUGCCUAGAUCCAAAAAUUUGCGGGAAUCAAGCUUAAAGGUCCGAAAACAUCAACAAAUCACAAAUUAGUGAAGCUCUACGGAUUCAAGUCUCUAAAGCCCCGAAGAACUUCCACCAUAAACCCUCAAAUACGAAGAACAUUCGAAGAGGAAUCAUCCAAAUCAUAUUCCUAGAUCUCAAAGUUCACUGGAAUCAAGCUCAAAAGCCUCCAGAAACCUCAAACAACCACAAAGCAGUGAAUCUCCACGGAUUCAAGCCUCUAAAGCCCCGGAGAACUUCCACCACAAACCUUCGAAGACGAAGAACACACGAAGAACACGAAGAACGUGAAGAACAAAGGAUUUCUAACAAGCUCAUAGCCAAAGAUUCAUUGUAAUUCUAUUCCAAAGAUCUUCGAUCCAUUCUUCAGCCAAAUUGAAGUACAUUGGGUGUUCGAGUCAAAAUCACAUUACUACAAAUCCAAUCAACAAAUCUUUGAAGGAGAUCGAAUCAGAGGAUCAAUCUUUUGUAAUCACAGAGAAUUGUACCACACAAUCAUAAAUACAAAUUCGCAUUUGUGAAACUA